rnacentral:rRNA from 1 species
CACGCCGUAAACGAUGAGUGCUAGUUGUGGUGGGUAUUGACCCCUGCCGUGACGACGCUAACGCAAUAAGCACUCCGCCUGGGAAGUACGGUCGCAAGAUUAAAACUCAAAGGAAUUGACGGGGGCCCGCACAAGCGGUGGAGCAUGUGGUUUAAUUCGACGCAACGCGCAGAACCUUACCCAGACUUGACAUGCCGAAGAUCCCGCCGAAAAGUGGGAGUGCCCGCAAGGGAAUUCGGACACAGGUGC